CCUGGGGUUUAAACCCCAGGCUAUUCUCUGUCGUCCCUAUCGGGACU
rfam:Candidatus Magnetoglobus multicellularis str. Araruama Cont253, whole genome shotgun sequence.